rnacentral:rRNA from 1 species
UAAGAAUAUUCCGCAAUGGACGAAAGUCUGACGGAGCGACGCCGCGUGGAUGAUGAAGGCCGAAAGGUUGUAAAGUCCUUUUGUCGACGAAGAAUAAGUGUGGGAGGGAAUGCCCGCAUGAUGACGUUAGUCGGCGAAUAAGCCCCGGCUAAUUACGUGCCAGCAGCCGCGGUAACACGUAAGGGGCAAGCGUUGUUCGGAAUUAUUGGGCGUAAAGGGUACGUAGGCGGUUUUGUAAGCCCGGCGUGAAAUACUGGAGCUCAACUCCAGAACUGCGUUGGGAACUGUGAGACUUGAGUCAUGGAAGGGGAGUUGGAAUUCCAGGUGUAGGGGUGAAAUCUGUAGAUAUCUGGAAGAACACCGGUGGCGAAGGCGAACUCCUGGCCAAUGACUGACGCUGAGGUACGAAAGUGCGGGGAGCAAAC